AACCCUGCGAUGCCACCACAGACUUCAACACUCAUGAUGGCACUGAGCUGUAUGGAUUUUGCUUAUUUUGUAACUACUUUUUCACUCACUAAUGACCAGCCUCGAGGCUUAAAACGCGAGUGAGAGGACCAUAGUACUCUAAAAAAGCUGUAUGGCCUUUAGCUCCCUUUAAGAAGGAUCCCAGAUCAGACCUGUGUCUCCUCCCUUUUCUUGCAUGUUCUAGCUAGCAGGAAAUUCAGCCGGAGCUUUGUAGCCCCAUGGGGUCCAUGUAAACAAGGAGGCAGGCAUACAAGCAGCAGCCACCAGCCCUGGAGGACAGCCUUGGACCCUUGGAAGAAAGGAGUUUGUUUUUCCAGGGUUCUGUAGACUCUCAGGACCAUCCCAUGUCACCUCCUGGGCAAAGAAGUGCAACAGCUCUUCCUGCCAACUUCUCCUUAAGAGCUGUAUAGCAGGAAGUGGAUAGAUUUGCUUUCCUCACUUUGGGUCAGUGGUAAAAGAUGCUACAAAGAGGAGCAGGAAGCAGAAGCUGGGUGGAGUAAUGGAAGCGAGUCCUUCCCUAGUGUCACACGCAAAGCCUUGCGGGUCUGUCAGGUGAGUUUCAGGACUUCACACAUUCGUAUUUCUCUUUUCAGACUCUGCAGAUAGCCAUACGGAGAUUAUGGAGACCAGCACACCACAUCCACAGGGCUGCAGCUAACGAGCCACCCACUGAGCACAAUUGGUUGUCAGCUCAGCCCCUCCCCUAUGCAUCAUUAAUGUUUUGUGCCAUUACAAGGCCUGAGGACCCUCACAGGGAGUUUGGUAGCCAUAAAAAGAAAAUAAAAUGUAUUUAAAUUAUAUAAAAAAAUCAUCACCAUCUUCUUAACAGUGACAUAACAUGCAACCUCUGCAGCUCCACACAUUUGAAAGCUGAUGGUGCUCAGAGGGCACAUACUCAGCACUCCAGGUACUCUCCCUGCUUCAGGAAGAAAAGAUGUAAGAAGUACAGUUCCCAUUAGCAGGAUAACCCUGGAAGACCACACAAGCACAUUCCUCUCCAUCCCCUCUAGUAAAAAGAGGCCUCCAGCCUUUCACUGUGUCAGCACAAAGAGUAAUUCACAUGCAUAUGAAUGCGUUUGGCUAAUCAUAGUGUAGGGAUAAUUCUCUGUAUAUAAUUACACGCUGUACUAGGCAGUUAACACUGCAGGGAUGUUAAGGUCUGCUUAGAUGUAGGAAGGGGGGGUGGAAGGUUAUUAUGCAACAUUCAUAGGGCAAAUGGGCAGUUUCAGGCCUGCUGGUAUAUUUUGCGUAGACAUCGAGCCAAAAUCUAUGCCUAACUCAGUGCAGUCCCAAUUAAAACCAAAAAUAGCUGUUGCAGGUAAGAAUCCAUAUAAACUCUAUCCACUUACCUCUGUCAAAAACUUAAGUCUAUGCAUGGGGAUCCCCAUCAUACUGAUAGCCAAAGAUGCCUGGCUUGCUGGAUAAUUAAUAGGUCAAGUCCUAUGUACUGUGUUCGCUACCUCAGUUUCAGAAGUUCUGAGCAGCUGUGUAUCUCAUAGAUGACAAGAGAUUAGCAAGGUCUUAGUAUUCCUGAAUAUCAUGAAAGCUUUGUCUGGGAUUGAGGCUUUUCCAAAAUCUGUGAAGGAAGGAGAAAUAUAGAACUCUUUGAAUAGAAAUAAAAUAUUAUAAACCUGAAACCAAACAAUUUUUCACCUGUUUUAUUAAUAUAUCAAGAAAAGUUCAAUACAAAAUUGAAAAAGAAAAGUAGAGCAACAUCCUUGAAUUACUGACUUGACUUAAGUCAGGCAGAAGGUUCACAACACUGGGGAUACAAGAUACAGAAAAAUUCAGAACUAUCAGGAAUUCAACAGCAAGAGAUAUCCGAGCAGUCACAAAAUACAAGGCUGGUUUCCAAAGCUCAGGAGUCUGGCUAGGAAAUGAUGAGGUAUUAAAAGAAUAGAAACUUGUAUUCCAGUUUCUGAGCCUGGAGAAGACACACCAGCCUUCUUUUGUUCUAUUUUCUGUUUCUACUUUUUGUUCUAUUUUUUACUCUGCUGUCAACACAACUAGAAGCUUAAUUCAUACAAGUCAAGUCUGAAAUUAUUGAACAAUUAGUCAUCUUUCUAAGACACAGCAAAUAUUAAUAGACUCGUGAGAAAGUCUUAUGAACUGGCAAGGCUGAAUGAGGAACCCCUAGUGUCAGAGCAAACCCAAACAGAGACAACAUGAAUUGCUGACUGAAGCCAGGGCAAGUCUCCCUAUAAAUCCUGCAUGAGCCAGUGAUUCUCUGUGUGACCUUUGGCAAAUUGUUUGGUCUUGGUUUGUUCCUCUGUCUACUCAGCUGGAAAACUGGGUUAAAGAAAAAAAGAUGAAGCAGGAGCUGACCGAAAACCAGAUGCUGAGCAUCAGCUGAGCCUUUCCAGCGGUGAUUGUGGGAAAUGUUCACAGAAAGCACUGAGCUGGCACUAAUAUAGCGCAUGUCUCCGUUUGGGUAUCAGAGGUCAGUGAUUUGAGCUGGGAGAGAAAUUGCUGGCUCCCACCUUUUACGGCCAUCCAGCUAUCACCAACAGCUAUGAAAUGGAAACACGAGACUUUCAGUGCCCUCAACUUCUCUUCUUUGAUCCAUGAACACCUGCAAAGCAGCAGAUAAACAAAUCGUGCUCUGUCAGCCCUUGUUCAUACAAUAAGUGCUCUUGUCCUCACUACCUAUCUUCAUGGCCCUCUGCUAAGGUCUCUCCAGUGACACAUCCCUUAGCAUGGGGUCAAAAACUGGAGACAGUUUCUCCAACACAGUCUCUCCAUUGAUGGCCCCAGGAGUGCAAAUGCCUCCAUGGUAAGGGAUCUCACCACCCUGUGCCUGAAAAGGAUGCUUCAGCAAGGCAAAGGCUCUGUUGGAGCAAAUGGAGAUGUCCCUGGCACUGGGAGGCAGCCUCCAGUAGAUCAAGAAAAGUAAUUAUCUCCAUUUACUCUUUCCUUGUUAGACCACACCUGAAGUGCUGUGUCUAGAGCUCCCUCAUUCAGGGAAGUUACUGAUGACCCAAAAAGAGCUCAGCAGUGGACUACCCAGCUGGAGCAUCUUGCCCUGUGAGGAGAUGCUGGGAGAUGUGGGGCUUGUUCAGCCUGGAGAAGAAGAAACAGCUUCAGGGAGACUUUCCAGUACCUACAAGGAUGUUAGUG